rnacentral:lncRNA from 1 species
AUGGUCCUUACGGCAUUGCAGCGUUAUGGUCAUUUCUGUAUCAGAAUGACAUUAAAGGUCUGGAGAAAGAAUUUGCAUGGUUCUCUGCUCCAGAUUCAGCAAGGUAAAGUUCCAUGUUCAGUCUUUGAGAAGGAUGGACUGCUUCAUAGCUCUAUAGCACUGAUUUCUAAAAGAGCUUGCCUUCUAUGAGGUAUUUAGUAAUAUCUAGAGAGAUUUUAGUUUGUCAUAAAUCAGUCAAGGGAGUGCCUAGGGGUUACCUACCUAAUGGGUAGAUAUCAGAGAUGCUGCUAAGAUUUUGUGAUGCCCAGGACAACCCCACCUCUUCCUUAAUAAUUAUCUGCCUUGAAAUGUCAAUAGCGGCAAUAUUGAUAAAUCUUGCACCAUAGUUUGGCCUACAAGCCCAAGAAAUGGCCCAGUAGACAUAUGGAGAUAGACGAUUAGAAAAAGCAGUUCUUAACACUAAAUAGGAAAGGGAGAAUGCUUUUGGCAAAGAGCCCAAGAGAAUAAACAGACAGAACUGCACCUGCCUCCAUUUCUUCAGCCCCCACACUCUACCCACGCUCUUUCCCAUAUGUCCCAAAUGGCUCUCCAGAUCCCAAAGGGCAUGGCACACAGAAGCCAGAUGGCUUUACCUCUCACCCUCUGAUUGUCCACUCCUCUCUGAACUCAUCGAUCCAACACAAAUAAUUCUCAUUACUACGGCUAUUUUAGCUUGAGGACAGAUAUUGCUUGAUUGAGCAUUGCAUUCUUACUGAACAAAAAAAUAAAGAAAACAAAGAAAAACACUUGCAAACUCCCCAAACUUUAAGUCCUUGGCAGUGAGUUCUUCAAUUUUAUAUCAGGGAGCCUGGGCUUGGCCUGAAGGGGAAAUGCAACAGAGCAUGCCAUCAGAAUAACUAGGUCAGUUUUCAGCUUCUUCUUGGAAGGCUUUCUGCUUUGCCUCUUCCCUCCCUGCUGGGCCCUCAGCCUGUCUGUGCCAGCCACCUUUAUUUCAGAUAACCAGCUCUCUCAGCUUACAUCUCAAAGUCCAAAUGCCUCUGGAAUUGAACAAAUUGCCCACACACCUUGAAUCAAAGAAUACAGCCCACCCAUUCAAUUUCAGCAUCUGGAAUUGGUGAUACCAAUAGCGUCUGAGCACUGGACCACCUAGUAGAGGAUAAAGUUUUAUGCAAUUCCUGCUGGCACUCUGGGCUUCAUCCACUGGCUCCAUCAGAGCAAACAUGUCAUUGGAACCUAGAAACUGCUAAGUUUCACACAGUACCUACGGACAUAGUUUCAGGCUUAUGUAAAUAAAAACAAAAACAUGAUUUAUCAGGCUUAUAUAAAAUCAAACAACAAAACAAACAAAAAUUCUGAAGUAGCAGAUCUGAGGAAUCCAGAGCCCUGGGGGAAAAAAAAGAUGUCAGGAAAGACUCUUCAAGCAAAUCUGCCCAGAACAUGACACUCAACUGUUGGAUAAGAAUGUGGUAUGAUUUGGGAGGCCGAGGCGGGUGGAUCACGAGGUCGAGAUAGAGACCAUCCUGGUCAACAUGGUGAAACCCCGUCUCUACUAAAAAUAUUUUAAAAAUUAGCUGGGCAUGGUGGCGCAUGCCUGUAAUCCCAGCUACUCGGGAGGCUGGGGCAGGAGAAUUGCCUGAACCCAGGAGGCAGAGGUUGCGGUGAGCCGAGAUCGCAAGAGCAAGAGCAAAACUCCGUCUCAAAAAAUAAUAAUAAUAAUAAUAAUAAUGUGGUAAGAAUAAAGUCAUCCAUUAUAGCUCUCACAGUUCUUCAACUCUGUGUUUAUACGUCUCUUUCUACCUCUAAAGCUGUCUAAGAAAUGAAACUUACUUUAUUCAUCUCCCAUAUCCACUAUGUGGCAGAAAGUCUCACACACAGUAGGUGAUUAAUAAAUUGAUUAGUUCCUCAAUCUUUUCUUGAACUCUUUUUUCCAAAACUACCUUCAGUCUCCCAAAGACACCUGGCUCACAAUGCUCAGUACUCCCUGACCUUAUAGCCUUAGAUGACCCCACUUAUGCUCAGUACCUAUUAACAGAAUAGAUUUUAAAUGUUUUCACUAAAAGAAAAAACGUAAGUAUGUGAAGUGGUGGAUUUGUUAAUUAGCUUUACUUAAUUAUUCCACAUUGUAAACAUAUAUCAAAACAUUACACUGUACCACAUAAAUAUAUAUACUUAGUAUUUGUUAAUUAAAAUAAAAAAUUUUUUAAAAAGGUUGGCUCUUUCCCACUUGUGGGAAACUUGUCUUGCAUCAACUGGCUGCCACUCAAAGAAUCAGUUGGCUAAUAUUACAAACCAUGUGGGGUUUGUCCUAAUAAAUAAAUGAAGUCCAGGUGCGGUAGCUCAAGCCUAUAAUCCCAGCACUUUGGGAGGCCGAGGCGGGUGGAUCAUGAGGUCAAGAGAUCGAGACCAUCCUGGUCAACAUGGUGAAACCCUGUCUCUACUAAAAGUACAAAAAAUUAGCUGGGCAUGGUGGCGCGUGCCUAUAAUCCCAGCUACUCAGGAGGCUGAGGCAGGAAAAUUGCAUGAACCCGGGAGGCGGAGGUUAUGGUGAGCCAAGAUGGCGCCAUUGCACUCCAGCCUGGGUAACAAAAGCGAAACUCUGCUUCAAAAAUAAAAAUAAAUAAACAAAUGAAAACCCCACUUUCACUUUUAACUACGACUCUUUUUAAUACUUGAAGUUCUGAGAUAUAUGUGCAGAACUUGCAGGUUUGUUACUUAGGCAUGCAUGUGCCAUGGUGGUUUGCUGCACCCAUCAAUCCAGUAUCUACAUUAGAUAUUUCUCCUAAUGCUAUCGUUUCCCUCGCCUCCCACCCCCCGAAAGGCACCAGUGUGGGAUGUUCCCCUCCCUAUGCCCAUACAUUCUCAUUGUUCAACUCCCACUUAUGAGUGAGAAUGUGUGGUGCUUGGUUUUCUAUUCCUAUGUUUUUUGCUGAGAAUUAUGAUUUAUAGCUUUAUUCAUGCCCUUGCAAAGGACAUGAACUCAUUCUUUUAUAUGGCUGCCUAAUAUUCCAUGGUGUAUAUGCACCACAUUUUCUUUAUCCAGUCGAACAUUGAUGGGCAUUCUUUUGCUUAGGAUUAUCUUGGCUAUACAGGCUCUUUUUUUUGUUCCAUAUGAAGUUUAAAGUAGUUUUUUUUUCUAAUUCUGUGAAGCAAGUCUUGAUGCGGAUAGCAUUGAAUCUAUAAAUUACUUUGGGCAGUAUGCCAUUUUCACGAUACUGAUUCUUCCUAUUCAUGAGCAUGGAAUGCUUUUCCAUCUGUUUGUGACCUCUCUUAUUUCCUUGAGCAGUGGUUGUAGUUUCUCCUUGAAGAGGUCCUUCACAUCCUUUGUUAGCUGUACUCCUAGGUAUUUAAUUUUGUUUUUAGCAAUUAUGAAUGGGAGUUCGUUCAUGAUUUGGCUGUUUGUCUAUUAUUGGUAUAUAUAAAUGCUUGUGAUUUUUGCAUAUUGAUUUUGUAUCCUGACACUUUGCUGAGGUUGCUUAUUCAACUAUGUUUGUUGUUUAUUCAAAUUUUGUUUGUUGGCCGCAUUUAUGCGGCCAACAAAGUUUGAGUAAGGAUAUUUUGGGCUGAGACCAUGAGGUUUUCUAAAUUAACCCCUGUGUAAUCUGCAAACAAAGAUUAUUUGCUUUACUCUUUACCUAUUUGAAUUCCCUUGAUUUCUUUCUCAUGCCUGAUUGCCCUGGCCAGAACUUCUAAUACUAUGCUGAAUAGGAGUGGUGAGAGAGGGCAUCCUUGCCUUGUGCCAGAUUUCAAAGGGAAUGCUUUCAGCUUUUGCCCAUUCAGUAUGAUAUUGGCUGUGGGUCUAUCAUAAACAGCUCUUAUUAUCUUGAUAUAUGUCCCAUCAGUACC